rnacentral:tmRNA from 1 species
GGGGAUGACAGGCGUCGAUUGAAAGAACUUUUAAAAUACUGCAAGUCGAGGCUGUAUUUUGCCUCGUUAAUCCAAAAUACAACAUCAAUAAGUGCAAAAAACUUAUUUACCAAAGUAAAGAGUGCUUUUACUCCGAACUUUGCUUUUGCUGCAGUUUAAUAAAAACAGCAGCCAUCUCUGCCUUUGAUGCCUGAUAAAAGGUUUGGGGUGUCAUAUUUUCUCAGGUAAAGCUGAUUUAGUCUGGUCUUAACCAAAUCAGUCAUACAUUAUUAAGACCUUUUCAUUUUUAAGCUUGUCGAUGGUAUUUUAAAAAACUUUUAAGACGCGGGUUCAAUUCCCGCCAUCUCCACAC